AGGACGAACGCUGGCGGCGUGCUUAACACAUGCAAGUCGAGCGGUAAGGCCCUUUCGGGGGUACACGAGCGGCGAACGGGUGAGUAACACGUGAGCAAUCUGCCCUUCACUUCGGGAUAAGCCUCGGAAACGGGGUCUAAUACCGGAUAUGACUGCGCCAUGCAUGUGGUGUGGUGGAAAGUUCUGGCGGUGAGGGAUGAGCUCGCGGCCUAUCAGCUUGUAGGUGGGGUAAUGGCCUACCAAGGCUUCGACGGGUAGCCGGCCUGAGAGGGUGACCGGCCACACUGGGACUGAGACACGGCCCAGACUCCUACGGGAGCAGCAGUGGGGAAUAUUGGACAAGUGGGACGAAAGCC
rnacentral:rRNA from 1 species